rnacentral:lncRNA from 1 species
AGUGCCUGAGUGCUAUGAAGAUUGCACACAGGGGUCCAGAUGCAUUUCGCUUUGAGAAUGUCAAUGGAUACACCAACUGCUGCUUUGGAUUUCAUCGGUUGGC